GCGCUUGUAGUUUAUUGGCAGAAUUAAACCUUCCCAAGGUUUGGAACCGGGUUCGAUUCCCGGCAGGCGCA
rnacentral:tRNA from 1 species